GGGGCAGUAGCUCAGUGGUAGAGCUCCAGGUUGUGGCUCUGGCGAUGCUGGUUCGAUUCCAGCCUGUCCCU
rnacentral:tRNA from 1 species